AAUAUUGCGCAAUGGGGGAAACCCUGACGCAGCGACGCCGCGUGAACGAUGAAGGCCUUCGGUUCGUAAAUUUCUGUCCUCAGGGAAGAAUAAAUGACGCUACCUCAGCAGGAAGCUCCGGCCAACUGCGUGCCAGCAGCCGCGGUAAUACGUAGGGGGCAAGCGUUGUCCGGAAUUAUUGGGCGUAAAGGGUGCGUAGGCGGCCUUUUAAGUCAGAUGUGAAAGACCACAGCUUAACUGUGGGGUUGCAUUUGAAACUGGAGAGCUUGAGUAUCGGAGAGGGUAGUGGAAUUCCUGGAGUAGCGGUGAAAUGCGUAGAUAUCAGGAGGAACACCAGUGGCGAAGGCGACUACCUGGACGAAAACUGACGCUGAGGCACGAAAGCUAGGGGAGCAAAC
rnacentral:rRNA from 1 species